UACGGGGGGGGCAAGCGUUGUUCGGAAUUACUGGGCGUAAAGGGCUCGUAGGCGGCCAACUAAGUCGGAUGUGAAAUCCCCAGGCUUAACCUGGGAACUGCAUCCGAUACUGGAUGGCUUGAAUCCGGGAGAGGGAUGCAGAAUUCCAGGUGUAGCGGUGAAAUGCGUAGAUAUCUGGAGGAACACCCGUAGCGAAGGCGGCACUCUGGGCCGAUACUGACACUGAGGAGCGAAAGCGUGGGGAGCGAACAGG
rnacentral:rRNA from 1 species